GAAGUGGUUGUCAUCGAGCAUUCGUCGAUUACCUCCGCUCGCCCUUGCCACUCGCUCAGCGAUAUCCCAAGUCCGAUCGCGCUUGGUCAUCUGCUUCGGUUGUCGUCACAAGUAUGAAGAUGGGAAAGAUAAUACAGAGAAGCUUGAUCCGGCGUGCAGCGAACGGAAGAGCGGAAGAUGCAGGAAACCAGAUCAACCAACCAUUAGACGAAGAUGGCUAAAGCGAGACAUCACAUGUGUUGCGCGGCUCUGUGGCGUUCUAACACCGCGAAUUUCAGUUCAGCUGUUUUCAAGGUUUCCUAAUGACAGCAGUUCAAAACUUUCUGCGAUUUCGAAUGUUCCGGCAGUGCCGGAAAAACUGAGGAAAGGAUACAAGGCUUGCAGCGCGGCUAUGUGAUAAGGGAGAACUUUUUCCGUUUCCCAGCGGACGAGAGUUGUGACAUAUCACGAAAUGACGCUAAAUGGGCAGUCCUGGCAGAGCUGACUAGGGGGCAGAUGUAUAAUGGCGACGGCCUCUGCUCCUACCACUACAAAGGAAGGGACUGCGCUGACCAUGUCGUUGUAGGCUGUGCCGACUAUUGGAGCGGAAGCGUAGUCACUGAUUGAUGAAGCGAAGUUACGAGACCCAAGCAGCAUCCACCUGAAGAAGGGCCAAGAGGACGCGAGCUUCAGCUGGAAAACCUCCUUGGCAUGCAAAUCUGGCGCACGAGACAGCGAAACACGACGUGCGAACAGAUGCCACUA